rnacentral:rRNA from 1 species
GUGAGUGAUGAAGGCCCUCGGGUCGUAAAGCUCUUUUACCAGGGAUGAUAAUGACAGUACCUGGAGAAUAAGCUCCGGCUAACUCCGUGCCAGCAGCCGCGGUAAUACGGAGGGAGCUAGCGUUGUUCGGAAUUACUGGGCGUAAAGCGCACGUAGGCGGCUACUCAAGUCAGAGGUGAAAGCCCGGGGCUCAACCCCGGAACUGCCUUUGAAACUAGGUGGCUAGAAUCUUGGAGAGGCGAGUGGAAUUCCGAGUGUAGAGGUGAAAUUCGUAGAUAUUCGGAAGAACACCAGUGGCGAAGGCGACUCGCUGGACAAGUAUUGACGCUGAKGUGCGAAAGCGUGGGGAGCAAACAGGAUUAGAUACCCUGGUAGUCCACGCCGUAAACGAUGAUAACUAGCUGUCCGGGUACUUGGUACUUGGGUGGCGCAGCUAACGCAUUAAGUUAUCCGCCUGGGGAGUACGGUCGCAAGAUUAAAACUCAAAGGACUU